GAGUUUGAUCUUGGCUCAGGACGAACGCUGGCGGCGUGCUUAACACAUGCAAGUCGAACGGAGCGAAAUGGAAGCUUGCUUCUAUGGAGCUUAGUGGCGAACGGGUGAGUAACGCGUAAUCAACCUGCCCUUCAGAGGGGGACAACAGUUGGAAACGACUGCUAAUACCGCAUACGAUUCAACUUCGGCAUCGAGGAUGAAUGAAAGGUGGCCUCUAUUUAUAAGCUAUCGCUGGAAGGAGGGGGUUCGUCUGAUUAGCUAGUUGGAGGGGUAACGGCCCACCAAGGCGAUGAUCGGUAGCCGGACUGAGAGGUUGAACGGCCACAUUGGGACUGAGACACGGCCCAGACUCCUACGGGAGG
rnacentral:rRNA from 1 species